GCCCAGGUAGCUCAGUCGGUAGAGCAGAGGACUGAAAAUCCUCGUGUCGGUGGUUCAAUUCCGCCCCUGGGCAUCA
rnacentral:tRNA from 3 species